GAUGAACGCUGGCGGCGUGCCUAAUACAUGCAAGUCGAGCGAAUGGAUUAAGAGCUUGCUCUUAUGAAGUUAGCGGCGGACGGGUGAGUAACACGUGGGUAACCUGCCCAUAAGCCUGGGAUAACUCCGGGAAACCGGGGCUAAUACCGGAUAACAUUUUGAACCGCAUGGUUCGGAAUUGAAAGGCGGCUUCGGCUGUCACUUAUGGAUGGACCCGCGUCGCAUUAGCUAGUUGGUGAGGUAACGGCUCACCAAGGCAACGAUGCGUAGCCGACCUGAGAGGGUGAUCGGCCACACGGGGACUGAGACACGGCCCAGACUCCUACGGGAGGCAGCAGUAGGGAAUCUUCCGCAAUGGACGAAAGUCUGACGGAGCAACGCCGCGUGAGUGAUGAAGGCUUUCGGGUCGUAAAACUCUGUUGUUAGGGAAGAACAAGUGCUAGUUGAAUAAGCUGGCACCUUGACGGUACCUAACCAGAAAGCCACGGCUAACUACGUGCCAGCCGCCGCCGUAA
rnacentral:rRNA from 1 species